rnacentral:rRNA from 1 species
AGAGUUUGAUCCUGGCUCAGAUUGAACGCUGGCGGCAGGCCUAACACAUGCAAGUCGAGCGGUAGAGAGAAGCUUGCUUCUCUUGAGAGCGGCGGACGGGUGAGUAAUGCCUAGGAAUCUGCCUAGUGGUGGGGGAUAACGUUCGGAAACGGACGCUAAUACCGCAUACGAUCUAAGGAUGAAAGCGGGGGACUCUGCAAAGAGCCUCGCGCGAUUGGAGCGGCUGAUAUCAGAUUAGGUUGUUGGUGAGGUAAAAGCUCACCAAGCCGACGAUCUGUAGCUGGUUUGAGAGAACGACCAGCCACACUGGGACUGAGACACGGCCCAGACUCCUACGGGAGGCAGCAGUGGGGAAUUUUGGACAAUGGGCGAAAGCCUGAUCCAGCAAUGCCGCGUGCAGGAAGAAGGCCUUCGGGUUGUAAACUGCUUUUGUACGGAACGAAAAGGUCUGCCCUAAUACGGCGGGCCCAUGACGGUACCGUAAGAAUAAGCACCGGCUAACUACGUGCCAGCAGCCGCGGUAAUACGUAGGGUGCGAGCGUUAAUCGGAAUUACUGGGCGUAAAGCGUGCGCAGGCGGUUAUGUAAGACAGUUGUGAAAUCCCCGGGCUCAACCUGGGAAUUGCAUCUGUGACUGCAUAGCUAGAGUACGGUAGAGGGGGAUGGAAUUCCGCGUGUAGCAGUGAAAUGCGUAGAUAUGCGGAGGAACACCGAUGGCGAAGGCAAUCCCCUGGACCUGUACUGACGCUCAUGCACGAAAGCGUGGGGAGCAAACAGGAUUAGAUACCCUGGUAGUCCACGCCCUAAACGAUGUCAACUGGUUGUUGGGUGCAUUAGUACUCAGUAACGAAGCUAACGCGUGAAGUGACCGCCU